rnacentral:lncRNA from 1 species
UUGUUCUAACGCUUUGCACAAAGGCGGGAAACGGUCAUCAAAGCUGUUGCGAAGGGAAGAGCCAAUGCAUUAAUUCGAUCCAAGAGGACUCGCCUCGUUGGAUUUGCAGCAACCUAAUCUCUCGCUCAGGAAGAAAACGCCACGAUAAAGAGUUUUCUGUCCUCCUUGUUUGCACGGAGCAGCAAACGCAGAGACAAAAGAAACGGGCCCCGACUGAUAUUCCAACUUAAUAAAAAGGUAAUAUACUCAUUAUGUUCCUGUUUCCCAGAAGACACUGCUUGGGAGUUCUGUUCUGUCAUCAACGGAGCUGUGAUGACCGUGGAUGUCACUGGUAGUGGCCAACAUUUCUGCAGCUCCUUCUCAGUUACAUCCUCAACACAAACUCCUCACCAGGUGGCAGAAGUGGAAGAAGCUGAGAUGUGGCUGUGAGUCCUGACUUCACUGCUGUCCAGCGGAAAGAGUCUGAGCAGUCUAAACCCG